GGAUUGUGGCUCAGAGGUAGAGUGCUCACCUAGCACAUCUGAGGCCCUGGGUUCAAUUCUCAGCACCA
rnacentral:tRNA from 1 species